UACAACCAUGAUGUCUACAAGAUGGCAGCUUGGAUGUUCAAACUGAAUUCAGCUGUAUUACAUAUACACCUCCUACUCGUCUACCCAGCCCUAGUGAAGGAAUCUUGACCUUCUUAGGCACCAAGAACCCAGAUUGAAGCAAGGAGGGGUAAAAUGAAUGACUGCGAAAACCAUUUCUCUCUAGAGGCACGGAGAGGAGGAGGACCUUUUGACAGGAGGUCCCUAGGCCACUGCACUCUGAUGUGUGGACAAUCACGAGACCCAGAGUCAUCCUAGGGAGUUAAAGAACCACCAGCCUCACCACUGAAGACUGAGCACUGACGACUCCAGCCUUCCUGGAGAUGCGUAAGAAGUACAUGGCUUCCAGAAAUAAAAAUAAAGACAUUAAAAAAAAAAAAAAAAAGACUGACAGUCCAGUCGUCAUGAAAAAGCAGCCCUCAAAACCCGUGCUUCUCUCUCAUCCUGUGCUGCUUUGAGGGUGACUGGCAACCCAUUUGUGUGCUCUAAAAGUUUUCAGAGGCAAAAGUAUCUUUAUUUUUGGAACACCUUUGGAAGAUCCUUAGCAUAUAACGCAUGGCUCCUCUUUCCAUACUCUCCUAAAUGAUACCUGCAUAAAAGCAAAAUGGACUUCCAGGGUUUGGUGUGACAAGCAGUGAAGAAUACUGGCUCAUUUAUUAGCAGCAGCCACAACCUUUUUUCAGACCAUAAAAAAAAAAAAAAUGAUGUCACUAAAUUUCGCCCAGAUCUGCUGUCGUGGCAAGAGUUUGGGAAAAUACCUGUCAGAGUGAAAAACAAAAACCGGACAUUGUACUUCAAUCACAUUUAACUCUGAAUGUGUUCAUCAACGUCAUUGUUCACCAUUCUGGAAAAAAAGGUUAUGAACAUAAUUAUGUGUGUCGAUUCUCAAUCAAUUUUGUUCUAUAACUGAGGCAGAUACUACCCCACCAAUUCUAAGUCAUCCUCACUUAUCAAAAAUUCAGGGGAUUUUUAGAGACUUUAUUUUUCAAACUACCAAGGAAGUGCUCAGUAUCUCAUCAAGCAGCACAUUUUUAGCAAAUACUCUACUUCAUCACUUGGCUUUUCUUAAGACAACAGUUUGAGGAAGAAGAAAGCAUGAAAAAAGAUCAAACUUUUCUAUUCCCAGGCUCUGAACUAUGAGCCAAGGAGGAUGAUGGCAAGAAUCUCUCAUCUACUCAGAAAAAGUUAAAUAAAACUGAGAGUCCAUUAGACAAAAGUUAGAGAUUCAUCCCCCUUGAGCUAUAUUUAAGCUCUCAACAUAAGAGGCAACAAGAAUUUCAAAAGAAAGCCUAUGUCUACAUCAGAUCUCAGAAGAAGAUGUUUUACUAAAAACUUACCAUCAUUUUCCUUGUCAAAAUUAUAUAACCAUGUGGGUUUUGUUCAGAUCUCAGAAUGUCAAAUCUUCCAUACUGUGUUUGAGUUCAUACCCUAUACCUACAUCCAGGGCAGUGGGGGGAAUCUAAAAAUACUAGUAGCCUUUGUGUUAGGACUUCCUAUGCACGAAAGAAUUGAUAGAAUUACUUGGCAAAACAUUGUACAAAUGCAGUCUGGGAAAUUAUAUGGCGGGG